GUCGAAUCUCUGUCUGACUUGUUGGCGAUCAGCGAUGGCGGGAGAAGUUCUGUUAGUAAACAAACAAAAUGGCGGCAUCGCAACUAGUAGUGCGGGACAUCGUGGGUUUGGAGAAGUUCACCGCCAUGAAAGAAAGAAGAACGGACUUUAAAUCACUGUCACAACCUGCGAGAUACAGGCAUGAAACUUUACAGACCUUCACCUGUGCUCACACCUGACAUUUACCUGCAGCACCUGAGCCUUCAGAGCAGUAGGCGGCGCUGCAGACCAGAUUACAACCACGUCAAAUCAUAGUUUCAGGUGAGGGUCAGAGAUUUCUGUUUGCUCUAGGAUUCAAACCACCAACCCUCAGCGUUGAUGUCAUCACUUCAUCUUUCUAGUCAGACAGUGAGAAAGUAAAAUAAAGAGUGAAUUGUCUAAAAGACUCAUAUUAGCUUCAGAUGAACUUCAGAACUCGUAUUGGACUGUGGACUGUUCGUCUACAGCGCUUUACCAAGAGAUUUGUAAAUGAGCAGUAUGGACGGGAGGAAAAAUGACGCUUGUCUUAAUGUGAAACUGUCUUUUUAAGUCAUUAGUGUAAUUAGAUUUUUGUAAACGAGGGCCCUGACUUCAUCCAGAGCUGCAGGGACUGAAGGAGUCUGAGGCGUUCAGGUGAAUCACUGCUGACAGGAAGUGAAAAACAGCUGAGCCCAGUUUCUGAAGAGACGAUGUUGAAUCAUAAUGUGGCGAGAGAGGAGGAGGAGUGGGUGGAGCUGACGUGAUACGAGCAAGCAGCAACCUCCACAUCUGACUGUACCAGGCUGACACACCUGUCAAUCACGAUGCUACUCCUGGCCAUAGUAAAUACAAGUCAUCAUCAGUCUUGGCCCUGAUUGGUUCACACACCUGCUGUACACAGAGCAGCCGUUAGAGCGAGGAGGUGAUACUGGAGCUGCAGUUUCUUCUGUGGUUCUGCUGAAGUCUAACAGUGCUACCAGCAGCAGAAUCAGCAGCAGCAGAACCAGCGCUGCCAGAACCAGCAGAGCUAUCCCCCACCCAGGUACGCCACCUCCGCCGCCGGCUGCAGGUGGUGUCGUACUCCCGGAUGUGAUUGGUUUGUUCGGG